rnacentral:pre_miRNA from 7 species
GACCGCCAGUGAAAAUCGAUUUUCACUGGCGGUCGACGUAAUAAAACUGCCAGUGAAAAUCGAUUUUCACUGGCGGUC